CCCCCACCCCACCCGGGCCUGUCAGCUGGCUCCGCCGCUUGGGGGAUGGGCAGGCGGGACCGAAUCGACCCAUCCUGGGGGCUGUGGGAGCGGACGGGACUAAAUCGCCCCGGUCCGGAGGGGUGGUGGCAGCGGCAGAGGGGACGGAACCAACUGCCCCUGGGUAUAUGUGGGUGUAAACAGAGCCGCGUCCGCCACUCCUUGGAGGCCAAGACGCUCCAUCCCUCUACCAAAAUGCAGUAUUCCCAUCACUGUGAGCACCUUCUAGAGAGACUGAACAAGCAGCGAGAGGCAGGCUUCCUUUGUGACUGCACGGUAGUUAUUGGUGAAUUCCAGUUCAGAGCUCACAGAAAUGUGCUUGCCUCCUUCAGCGAGUACUUUGGUGCAUUUUACAGGGAUGCCUCUGACAGUAAUGUGGUUUUGGAUCAGACUCAAGUGAAGGCUGAUGGAUUUCAGAAACUCCUGGAGUUUAUAUACACGGGAAACUUAAACCUUGACAGUUGGAAUGUUAAAGAAAUUCACCAGGCUGCUGACUAUCUCAAAGUGGAGGAGGUGGUCACUAAGUGUAAAAUAAAGAUGGAAGACUUUGCUUUUAUUGCUAAUCCCUCCUCUACAGAGAUUUCUAGUAUUACGGGAAACAUUGAACUGAACCAACAGACUUGCCUCCUCACUCUUCAAGAUUACGAUAAUCGAGAGAAAUCAGAUGCCCCUUCUGCAGACUCAGUUCAGCCACAAGCAAAAAAAGUGGGUUUAGAAAAGAAAUCUACUCAGACCAGAAAGCGAAAAAAGACUUUUAACUCUCAGAAAAACAUGAAGAAUAAACCAGUGCAAUAUCAGAAUGACAUAAUUGAGAACUCAUCAGUCGAUAUGUUUUUAGAUGCAAAUAAACUGGCCACACAGAUAACGGAACAAGCUGCCCAAGGCAGCGAUAACUCAGAGCUACAGUUAGCGUCAGUGGUGGAAAGUGAGACUUUUGCAGCACAAGAUGUUUUGGUUCAGACUAUUACAGUGAAACAAAAACGGGGGAAGCCACAGCAGAACUGUGCAUUGAAAGAACACAGUAUGUCUAAUAUAGCUAGUGAAAAGAACUCUUACCAACUGGAGAGCUCUGGAGAAGAACUCGAUCAGAAAUACUCCAAGGCCAAGCCAGUGUGCAACACUUGUGGGAAAAUAUUUUCAGAAGCCAGUAGUCUACGACGACAUAUGAGAAUACACAAAGGAGUAAAGCCUUAUGUGUGUCAACUAUGCGGGAAAGCAUUUACACAGUGUAAUCAGCUGAAAACACAUGUCAGAACGCACACAGGGGAGAAGCCAUACAAAUGUGAAUUGUGCGACAAAGGCUUUGCCCAGAAGUGCCAGCUUGUUUUCCACAGUCGCAUGCAUCAUGGAGAAGAGAAACCAUAUAAAUGUGAUGUAUGCAAUCUGCAGUUUGCAACUUCAAGCAAUCUUAAGAUCCAUGCCAGGAAGCACAGUGGUGAGAAGCCCUACGUGUGUGAUAGGUGUGGGCAGAGGUUUGCUCAGGCCAGUACGCUGACGUACCAUGUUCGUCGCCAUACAGGAGAGAAGCCAUAUGUGUGUGACACCUGUGGGAAAGCAUUUGCAGUGUCCAGUUCUCUGAUCACUCAUUCUCGAAAACAUACAGGAGAGAAACCAUAUAUAUGUGGCAUUUGUGGCAAAAGUUUUAUUUCCUCAGGAGAGCUCAAUAAACAUUUUCGGUCUCAUACAGGUGAAAGACCAUUUAUCUGUGAACUGUGUGGAAAUUCUUACACAGAUAUAAAAAAUUUAAAAAAGCACAAAACAAAAGUUCACACAGGAUCUGAAACCACCCUUGAUUCUAACACAGUUGAUAAUUCCUACAAUGAACAAGAAUCCAUUCAGAAUCAGAAAAGCCCUUUGUCAGAGUCUGUAGAUGUGAAGCCUUCUGAGAUGUCUUUACCACUUCCUCUUCCCAUUGGGACGGAAGACCAUCAGAUGCUGUUGCCUAUAACUGGUAAUCAGUCUCCUUCUUCAGACACAUUGCUGAGAUCUGCUGUGACUGGAUAUUCAGAACCUCAGUUUAUUUUCUUGCAGCAGUUGUACUGACUCUGUGCGAUAUGGGAAUCAACUAGACAAUCCUGAUAGUGAACACACACAUUACUGGAUUCCGUGGCCAACUGGUAAUUCUGUGACUGAAGAACCGCACCAAAAAGCAGGGCCUUGAAUAUAAGUGACAAAGGUCCACUCCAUGUGACCAGAUCUAAGGCUGCAUUUUCUGACCAAAAAUACAGCAAAGGUAUAAGGAUGAACGCAGUUUUAGUAAUUAGUAUUGCACAAAAGAAAAGCCGUCUUAAGCGCUCCGCCAACUCAUAUGGUUACACUGCUAUUUGGCAAGUUCAUCUUUUAAAUGUACUAAAGUACAUCUCUUCUGAUGUGCUAUUACUAUUUUUUUUUUUUAAGUUUAACUUGUUCAGAAUUACUGAGUAAUGCAUAUAUUACCAGGAGAGCAAACUAACUCUGAAAAACACAUUCCUAUGUAGAAUAUGCAUUCCAUAAGAAUGCUUGUUUCAACUGUUUUUAUAUUUCUAAAAUUUUAGAUUACUACAGUAUUCUUACAUUUCAGACUUUUUUUAAAAAAAAUCAGUGCUUAGAUUUAUACUGGAUCCAGUUUAGAUAUUUAUAGAGGUGACAUUUGCUUUAUAUUACUCAUUUAGUUUUCUUUAUACACAGGAAGAUCAUCAUUUUUACAAGACAACGGUUUUAAACCUCUCUUCACAGAAUACACAGGUUCUGAUAAAGUUGUUCUCUUGCAGCAAUAAUUUAAUGAUCUGUACUCUUGAGUACCAAUUUUUAUCCUCAACUUUGAUGAAAAUGACUCAGCUGCUGAGUUCAUUUCCCUUAAAUAUAUUAAUUUAAUAAACCUAUAAUGUAAAAAACGUGUAGGAGUGUUCCAGCUGGGUGCUGUCGAGCUUUGAGAGAGAGCUCUACUGCAUAUCUGUGACAAUGCCGGGAGUACUUUCCAUGCAUCUCUUAUGUGAAAGCGUUCUGCUCUCAAGUUCAAUUUGGAGCUGGAAGUUAUCAAGAGGAUUGAUGGUCCAUGUAAAGAGUGAAUAGGGGGAAAACGUGGACAUCUUAAAUAGUCAAAUGCCGUUAAUAGUUAACCAAAUUUCUCCUUUCUGAAAAAUGAAAGCGAGAGCAUUAACAUUUCUUUAAAAUUUUGAAAGACUUCUAAAGAAUAUCUCCAGUGUGAUCCAAAUCUCAGCAAGUCCACUAACUUCAAUGGAAGUUUUGCCUGAGGGCUUGACUACUCUUGGAAAUUUACCAAAAUAGCUAGCUAUUCCAGAAUGGGGAGUUCUCCAGAAUAGCUACUCUGCAAUAAUUAUUUUGGUAAGUUCCAAGGAUUACAAGACUGGACUUUGUGAGAGGCUGUUGGUAAGACUUACAGAAAUAGGUCUAGAUAAGAACUAGUAAUUGAUUUGGGUUAAGUUAUUUUUGAAGUAUUUUUCCUGUAUAUACAAAAAGUGUUUUUCCUUCUGUUAUGUAUAUAUAGUUGUUCUUUUUUUAUAAUCCCCUGUGGGGGUUUUGUACAUACUUAGAUUGCAGUGUUUAUGUUAGGCUUUAAUAAACUUGUUUUGUAAUUUUC